UGGGGAAUUUUGCGCAAUGGGGGAAACCCUGACGCAGCAACGCCGCGUGGAGGAUGAAAUCCCUUGGGAUGUAAACUCCUUUCGAUCGGGACGAUUAUGACGGUACCGGAAGAAGAAGCCCCGGCUAACUUCGUGCCAGCAGCCGCGGUAAUACGAGGGGGGCAAGCGUUGUUCGGAAUUAUUGGGCGUAAAGGGAGUGUAGGCGGUUUGGUAAGUCGUGUGUGAAAUCUUCGGGCUCAACCCGAAGUCUGCACACGAAACUGCCGGGCUUGAGUAUGGGAGAGGUGAGUGGAAUUCCUGGUGUAGCGGUGAAAUGCGUAGAUAUCAGGAGGAACACCUGUGGCGAAAGCGGCUCACUGGACCAUUACUGACGCUGAGACUCGAAAGCUAGGGGAGCAAACAGG
rnacentral:rRNA from 1 species